rnacentral:rRNA from 1 species
GACGAACGCUGGCGGCGUGCUUAACACAUGCAAGUCGAACGGAAAGGCCCUGCUUUUGUGGGGUGCUCGAGUGGCGAACGGGUGAGUAACACGUGAGUAACCUGCCCUUGACUUUGGGAUAACUUCAGGAAACUGGGGCUAAUACCGGAUAGGAGCUCCUGCUGCAUGGUGGGGGUUGGAAAGUUUCGGCGGUUGGGGAUGGACUCGCGGCUUAUCAGCUUGUUGGUGGGGUAGUGGCUUACCAAGGCUUUGACGGGUAGCCGGCCUGAGAGGGUGACCGGCGACAUUGGGACUGAGAUACGGCCCAGACUCCUACGGGAGGCAGCAGUGGGGAAUAUUGCGCAAUGGGCGGAAGCCUGAUGCAGCAACGCCGCGUGCGGGAUGACGGCCUUCGGGUUGUAAACAGCUUUCGCCGGUGACGAAGCGUGAGUGACGGUAAUGGGUAAAGAAGCACCGGCUAACUACGUG